UACGUAGGGACCAAGCGUUGUUCGGAUUUACUGGGCGUAAAGGGCGCGUAGGCGGCAAUUCAAGUCAGUUGUGAAAUCUCCGGGCUUAACCCGGAAAGGUCAACCGAUACUGCGGGGCUAGAGUGCAGAAGGGGCAACUGGAAUUCUCGGUGUAGCGGUGAAAUGCGUAGAUAUCGAGAGGAACACCUGCGGCGAAGGCGGGUAGCUGGGCCGACACUGACGCUGAUGCGCGAAAGCCAGGGGAGCGAACGGG
rnacentral:rRNA from 1 species